rnacentral:rRNA from 1 species
UACGUAGGCAGCAAGCGUUGUUCGGAGUUACUGGGCGUAAAGGGUGUGUAGGCGGUUGUUUAAGUUUGGUGUGAAAUCUCCCGGCUCAACAGGGAGGGUGCGCCGAAUACUGAAUGACUAGAGUGCGGGAGAGGAAAGUGGAAUUCCUGGUGUAGCGGUGAAAUGCGUAGAUAUCAGGAGGAACACCGGUGGUGUAGACGGCUUCUGGACCGUAACUGACGCUGAGACACGAAAGCGUGGGUAGCAAACAGG